GAUGAACGCUGGCGGCGUGCCUAAUACAUGCAAGUCGAGCGAACAGACGAGGAGCUUGCUCCUCUGACGUUAGCGGCGGACGGGUGAGUAACACGUGGAUAACCUACCUAUAAGACUGGGAUAACUUCGGGAAACCGGAGCUAAUACCGGAUAAUAUAUUGAACCGCAUGGUUCAAUAGUGAAAGACGGUUUUGCUGUCACUUAUAGAUGGAUCCGCGCCGCAUUAGCUAGUUGGUAAGGUAACGGCUUACCAAGGCAACGAUGCGUAGCCGACCUGAGAGGGUGAUCGGCCACACUGGAACGGAGACACGGUCCAGACUCCUACGGGAGGCAGCAGUAGGGAAUCUUCCGCAAGGGGCGAAAGCCUGACGGAGCAACGCCGCGUGAGUGAUGAAGGUCGUCGGAUCGUAAAACUCUGUUAUUAGGGAAGAACAAAUGUGUAAGUAACUAUGCACGUCUUGACGGUACCUAAUCAGAAAGCCACGGCUAACUACGUG
rnacentral:rRNA from 1 species